rnacentral:tRNA from 1 species
ACGAGUGUAGUUCAAGUGGCAGAGCGUUGGAGUAGCGAUCUGGAGAUGCGGGUUCAAAUCCCGCCGAGCAUC